rnacentral:rRNA from 1 species
ACGAACGCUGGCGGCGUGCUUCACCCCUGCCAGUCGCACGCUGAAGCUUGGUGCUUGCACUGGGUGGAUGAGUGGCGAACGGGUGAGUAAUACGUGAGUAACCUGCCCUUGACUCUGGGAUAAGCCUGGGAAACUGGGUCUAAUACUGGAUACGACAUGCCACUGCAUGGUGGUGUGUGGAAAGGGUUUUACUGGUUUUGGAUGGGCUCACGGCCUAUCAGCUUGUUGGUGGGGUAAUGGCCUACCAAGGCGACGACGGGUAGCCGGCCUGAGAGGGUGACCGGCCACACUGGGACUGAGACACGGCCCAGACUCCUACGGGAGGCAGCAGUGGGGAAUAUUGCACAAUGGGCGGAAGCCUGAUGCAGCGACGCCGCGUGAGGGAUGACGGCCUUCGGGUUGUAAACCUCUUUCAGCACGGAAGAAGCGAGAGUGACGGUACGUGCAGAAGAAGCGCCGGCUAACUACGUG